GACAGAGGGUGCAAACGUUGUUCGGAAUUACUGAGCGUAAAGCGUGUGUAGGCGGCCUCGCAAGUCGGAUGUGAAAGCCCCGGGCUCAACCCGGGAAGUGCACUCGAUACUGCUUGGCUAGAGUCUCGGAGAGGUUGGUGGAAUUCUCGGUGUAGAGGUGAAAUUCGUAGAUAUCGAGAGGAACACCGGUGGCGAAGGCGGCUAACUGGACGAAGACUGACGCUGAGACACGAAAGCGUGGGGAGCAAACAGG
rnacentral:rRNA from 1 species